AUUGAACGCUGGCGGCAUGCUUUACACAUGCAAGUCGAACGGCAGCGCGGGCUUCGGCCUGGCGGCGAGUGGCGAACGGGUGAGUAAUGCAUCGGAACGUGCCCAGUAGUGGGGGAUAGCCCGGCGAAAGCCGGAUUAAUACCGCAUACGACCUGAGGGUGAAAGCGGGGGACCGAAAGGCCUCGCGCUAUUGGAGCGGCCGAUGUCGGAUUAGCUAGUUGGUGGGGUAAAGGCUUACCAAGGCGACGAUCCGUAGCUGGUCUGAGAGGACGACCAGCCACACUGGGACUGAGACACGGCCCAGACUCCUACGGGAGGCAGCAGUGGGGAAUUUUGGACAAUGGGGGCAACCCUGAUCCAGCCAUGCCGCGUGAGGGAAGAAGGCCUUCGGGUUGUAAACCGCUUUUGUUCGGGAAGAAAUCCUGUGGGCUAAUACCCCGGGGGGAUGACGGUACCGGAAGAAUAAGCACCGGCUAACUACGUG
rnacentral:rRNA from 1 species